GCCAGUGUGGUGUAGUGGUUUGAGUGCUGGGCUGCAACUCUGGAAACCUGGGCUCAAUUCCCAGCUCGGCCA